GGACACCGGGAUGGCCGGGAAGGUGGCGCUGCUCCUGUGGGGGGGACAGUUCAGGGACAGCGCCUAUGAACCAUUCCCGCGUGCUCCACUGUCCCCACAGUGCCACACUCACUGAGCACUGUCCUUUCUCCCUUCCAGCCCAGACCCUUGGCCUUGCUGGUGCUGAGACCACCCAGCUCCUGGUGGAGCCCCCCUGGAGGUCGGCAGUGCUGUGGGACCGGG